AUACGUAGGGGGUGAGCGUUGUCCGGAAUGAUUGGGCGUAAAGGGCGCGUAGGCGGCCCGGUAAGUCUGGAGUGAAAGUCCUGUUUUUAAGAUGGGAAUUGCUUUGGAUACUGUCGGGCUUGAGUGCAGGAGAGGUAAGUGGAAUUCCCAGUGUAGCGGUGAAAUGCGUAGAGAUUGGGAGGAACACCAGUGGCGAAGGCGACUUACUGGACUGUAACUGACGCUGAGGCGCGAAAGUGUGGGGAGCAAACAGGAUUAGAUACCCUGGUAGUCCACACUGUAAACGAUGAAUGCUAGGUGUAGGGGGUAUCGACCCCUUCUGUGCCGCAGUCAACACAAUAAGCAUUCCGCCUGGGGAGUACGGCCGCGAGGUUGAAACUCAAAGGAAUUGACGGGG
rnacentral:rRNA from 1 species